rnacentral:rRNA from 1 species
GACGAACGCUGGCGGCGUGCUUAACACAUGCAAGUCGAGCGGUAAGGCCCUUUCGGGGUACGACGAGCGGCGAACGGGUGAGUAACACGUGGGUGACCUGCCCUUACGCUCUGGGAGUAAGCCUGGGAAACGUAGGGUCUAAUACCGGAUAUGACUCCAUGACGCAUGUUGUGGGGUGGAAAGACCUUGUGCGGCGUAGGGAGUGGGCCGUGCGGCCUAUCAGCUUGCUGGUGGGGUGAGGCCUACCAAGGCGACGACGGGUAGCCGGCCUGAGAGGGCGACCGGCCACACUGGGACUGAGAC